GGUGAACGCUGGCGGCGUGCCUAACACAUGCAAGUCGAGCGGAGAUAAGCGGAUGGUAACUGAAGUUUGUCUUAGCGGCGGACGGGUGAGUAACACGUGGGCAACCUGCCUUGGAGUGGGGGAUAACACCGGGAAAUCGGUGCUAAUACCGCAUAACAUACACAUACUGCAUGGUGAGUGUAUCAAAGGAGCAAUCCGCUUUAAGAUGGGCCCGCGGCUGAUUAGCUAGUUGGUAAGGUAACGGCUUACCAAGGCGACGAUCAGUAGCCGACCUGAGAGGGUGACCGGCCACACUGGAACUGAGACACGGUCCAGACUCCUACGGGAGGCAGCAGUGGGGAAUAUUGCGCAAUGGGGGAAACCCUGACGCAGCAACGCCGCGUGGAGGAAGAAGGUCUUCGGAUUGUAAACUCCUGUCUUCUGGGACGAAGUAUGACGGUACCAGAGGAGGAAGCCACGGCUAACUACGUG
rnacentral:rRNA from 1 species